rnacentral:rRNA from 1 species
AUACGGAGGGUGCAAGCGUUAAUCGGAAUUACUGGGCGUAAAGCGCGCGUAGGCGGCUUGAUAAGUCGGAUGUGAAAUCCCCGGGCUUAACCUGGGAAUUGCAUUCGAUACUGUCAGGCUAGAGUGUGGUAGAGGGAAGUGGAAUUUCCGGUGUAGCGGUGAAAUGCGUAGAUAUCGGAAAGAACAUCAGUGGCGAAGGCGGCUUCCUGGAUCAACACUGACGCUGAGGUGCGAAAGCGUGGGGAGCAAACAGGAUUAGAAACCCCAGCAGUCC